rnacentral:rRNA from 1 species
UCACUUUCAACAACGGAUCUCUUGGCUCUCGCAUCGAUGAAGAACGUAGCGAAGUGCGAUAAGUAAUGUGAAUUGCAAAUUCCGUGAAUCAUCGAAUCUUUGAACGCAAAUUGCACUCUUUUCGGAGAGUAUGCCUGUUUGAGG